rnacentral:hammerhead_ribozyme from 1 species
AUCCAAGCUGACGAGUCCCAAAAUAGGGACGAUACGUGUGUCCUGGAU